CUGUGGCUGAUAAACAUCCCCAUCAUCGAUCAACGUGCCGACAGUCGAGUCUCGUGAACCCGGAGGCGCUCGGCGUCUCCGCGCUGCAGACGUACAGUAAUUGACCCCACAGGGUCAAUGAACAAAGCUCAGGAUUUGUCUUGGCUGCAGGAUGAUCCCCCGUGUGAGGGGGGGGAAAUAGCAGAGCCCGCAUUUGCACUCGUACUUAUUUUGAUGCAAAUGUCCAACAACAAUAUAUGAUGACAUGCCGCUGUAUGCUAAUGCUAAGCAUGAAGCCUGUGGCAGGUCCGCAGCGCUCAGCAAUCCACAGAUUAGCUCCUGGAGGCGACGCCUGUAACAGAGUGGAGCGUGUCUAGGUCGGGUCGGGACACAUCCGCACCGUCUCCACCUCUCUUACAUUAGAUAUCAAACUAUGUAAGUAUUGACUCCUGCAUCUGCCUAAAAACAAUAAAAGCUGUAUUUUUCUGUGGUUUAUUCUCGCUGCAGCUCCACCAAAUCAAGGGAUUUCAGCUGCAUAAACCUGUGUGUGCUGAGCUGAACACUCGAGCGCUUUGAUCAGCCGGUUCCUGUGCAUUGAUUAGUUGCAUGAACAAGUGCCGCGAGUGGAUUUUGGGGAAAAAACUGUAGUAAAUAUGUAGUUUUAGAUCGUGUACAAAAAUGAAAAUGUCCAGCAAAACAUCAGGUUAUUAUUAAAUGCUGAAGCCCAAGAAAAGAAAAAAGCACACUCGCAAUUUUCUGCACAAACUUUUAUUUAAAUUGGAUUUAAAAACACCACUUAGGACGAUUCAUGGAAAUGUAACUGGGAGCUAGAAUCACUUGAUGCACUGAUGCAGACUAAAUUUCCUUCAAAUAUAAUCAUAGUUUUAAAAAAUGUAGUUCAGAUGGUUGUUAAGUCAUUUGUCGGGACUCAAAAGACUCUGACUCUAAUCUGAAUCAAUACGGUUUCCACUGGCGCCAAUCACGGCAGAAGUGAGGCAGAGACAUUGCAAAGCCCAGAGGAUGCUGACCCCGUCAGGAUUUCCAGAAAUGGAGAGGAAGAACGGAGGCAGGGAGGAUUAAGAGGGAAGAAAAGAGCAUUCAAGAGCUGACGGGGACGGAGCACAGGGCAAAGUGAAGGAGAAAGAGAGCAGCUCAGCAGAAGUGUGGGCCGGAGACACAGGAGCCAAAUGUCACCGUUUGUCAGAUGUGUCCAGUUUAGGCCACAGACGCACACAGUGGCCACUGGGCUAAAAUACCGGCAUAACCUCUGAGGUCUGUACUCGCUGCCAGACGUGGAGGAAACACAAGUACUGCGACACACUCUGUCUUUUACUUCUAAUCUUCACAGCUCCAUCGAGGUGGAAGUGUUGAUUGUUGACAAUAUUAUAGAUUGGACUUUAGCGAAGCACAGCUUGGACUGAUGUAAUUUCAUCUGCCGAUGUAGAGCAUAACAAGCCCAGUCUGAGACGUCAUCAAUUAUUGAUGAUACAGGAAACGGAUAAUGAGAAGACAGACUCUUCGUCUGUUUCAUAUUAAAAAGUUUUUUAAUUAAAACGCCGCAACACGCAGCUCAGAAACAAACACGCCUAAAGUUAGAGACGCGGUGAAGCGAAGGAGGCGAAGACGUCCACCAGGACACGGACGCUCACGGAUGAGCGGAUCCGGUCACCGGAUCGACCUCAAAGUUCAGUCAGCGCCUCGUUUUCAUCACAUUUGCAGGUUUUCUCUGAGUUAAAACGAGCGGAUGCCGAAUCAGGAAUCAGGGAGACGCUGUUCUGUGAAUUCUGCACCGGACAGGUCUGAUGCAUGUGCACCGACACCUCACCGCCUCCGCCGUACAAGUGUGCGAUCACUGACCUUGACCUUGAAUCGCGCCUGUAGAUUAAUACCGGCGGCUUCUCCCCGGAGCAUUCGCGGCGCUGAUUUAUGAUUUAGAGAUGUUCUCAGCAGCGACGCACCUCAAAAUGUCUCUCUGAGCGGAGAUGUUUGAUACCAGCAAAAAUUAUUUGUCAGAAACCACCAAAGAUGCAGCGGAAUAAUAACCAAACUCACAUUAAUACUAAUAAUAGGUGAGAGUCAGGGUUUUAACACUGUUGUCACAUUUGACUGAUGAUUUAACAGCACAAGUCUAAUUGAUUGUGUUAGUACAGUAUGUGCAGCUAAUUAUCGCCCUACAUGUAACUACAUGGAAGAAAACAAGCAUUUGCAGCUUCCUCCUCCACUGAUAAUUAUUACUUUGGAGAAAUAUGACUUGAUUCAUUCAGUACGACGCCACGUGUUUCUGACUAGAGCACAUGGAAACUGAGAGCAGACACACGAGACGCCGCUCUGCCUCCCGAUAUUUGAUAUUUGAUAAGAGGUCAAAUGUAGCACAACACAGACACAAUGGCAGCAACACAUAUGUUAUAAUAUCACAUUAUAUCAAAUUUUAUUAGAUUUAUUCCACUAGUUCGUAUCUGAUCCCGCGCAAAUGGGAUAUUUGUUCAUUCUCAAAGUGACAAAUAAAGCUCUUAAUACCUCUCUAAUGAAGAACGCACACUGUAGCCGCGCACGGCUUAAAACGGGCUUCUGGGGGAAGGAGACCUCCAACACGGAGCCUCCGACUCCGUGCAGCGUUUGUGCAGAAUGCAGCGCCACAUUCCCUGUUUCCCGGCGCUAAAUGCGUCCGAACGGGAAUCUCAGCGGGAACCCGCCGUCGACACGCUUUGGCUUUAGAGGCGAAUUCUCCGUCUUGUGCCGAGAGGAUUACACGGCUCCCGCUGUAAUCGACGCGUCUUUUCUGGCGCGUUCAAAGCACCAGCGUUGCUCAGUUUACGGAGGUUAAUACCUGGAGCGUCCUCCGUGCGCGUGAACGGGCCGCUGUGCUGUGGAUGCGUCUUAUUGUGAAGGUUCUGAAUCCGUUACCAAGUAAUUGAUCUAAAUGAGACGAUCCAGUGUUUGCUUAAACAUGCACGUGGUAGGUCCACCACUGUGUUCUUUGUUAUUUGUCCUGACAUCUUCAAAAUCCUCUUGUUCCAAAGGGUUUGUAGCUCUUUUCUUCGGACUCGUGGGUCAUUCUGAAAUCCCUUUGAUGCUGCCGGCCGCUGGACGGCGGCUCGUGCUGCAGCAUCAUGUAUUGCAUCAUGUGAGGCUGCCACUUAAAGGACACACGCUGCAUUCAGGGCCCGCUGCCCGUGUCUGUUAUCGCUUUGUGUCAUCUGUGGCUUGCAGGGAGGAAGUCAUGUGUGCCUCUGUCUCUUGUCAUCAUGAAAGCGGCAGAGACACAGCAACUAUUGCAAUUAUUCAAUUUAUUCUGAUGAUCCUGAUGUUCCUGCGUUUCUAUUCUUUGUCAUCUAUGAUGCAAUAGUUGCACAAGGUGCAUCAAUAAAACAUUACACAAAUGUAAAAGCCAAAAGCUGUGUGACAUGUGAAUAUGCUGAUGAGUCGACUUUAAUGUUUUAAAUGGUUCCUAACUUCACUAAAGAUGCGCUCUCUUCUCCACCCAGAUACAUCAUAGACGGACAGAAUUGGGUAAAAUUAAUCUGAGGUGGCGCCUGGAAGCCCCCGAAGAGAGCGCCUCUGCUCCACUCAUUACUAGCAGACUGAGAUGUGCUAAGUUCAGCUGAGCCGCGUAUGAAACGAAGAGCGAAGAGGCCGCGCUCACAUCAAAAGGAAAGUUCGAAGAGAAAAAGCUCCUCGGGUCCCAGGUGAACCACAGCUUGACCAGCCUACACAGCGCUCUGACCUGAGCCCCAUCCGCCUCCUCAGGGAUUGUUUGGGACGCAGAGUGUGAGCCAACAUCACUGCCCGACCUCACUAACGCUGCUGUGACUGACUCGGAGAGAAGCCGAACAAACAGAGAGGAGGCAGGUCCAGCAGCAGAUGUCUGCCCCGGGCUCUGGAGUUGAACUAAUGCGUUUAGGUGCAGAAUGCAUCACGCUGUAGAAGGUGGUGUGUGUGUGUGUGUGUGUGUGUGUGUGUGUGUGUGUGUGUGUGUGUGUGUGUGUGUGUGUGCCUGCCAACAACAAGGACUGCUCUUUAUGGGCAAAAGGUGCACCGGCCUCUCAUCCUAAAGCUUUUUUUAGCAUGAUUUGAAUGUAACACAUACAAAAACAAUAAGUCACACAUUCUGCUAAUUAUGAAAGCUCGGUGAACUGAACUCCGCUCUAGUGGAGAUUCUGCUGGUAUUGACAGCAGGUCGGCAAGACAAGAAGGCCCUCCUCCGUCCUUCCGUCUGCAGACUCCCUCUGUUUGCACCAACAGGGGGGAGACUAGGGUUUGAUAUACUGUAAAUAGAUCAGACAGACAUUUGGUGUUAGAGCUGCAGCACCGUCAAAGAAAAAGAAAUUCACUCUAAACAAAAAUAAAUUGAUUUGGUAACGACACCUUUGAGCUAACGUGAGCACACUCAGAUCACAGAGCCCAACGUCCCACAUGUACAGUCACAGGGAACAGAUACAGUAGCAUCAAAACCCAGUACAACAACUAGAAUAUGGAUCGUUUUAUAAUUUUAUUGCAUCCAACCAUUAGCUGUUGAGAUGUUUGAGUCUAGACGAAGGUCAUCCCUGCAGACUCCACUCUGGAAAGACUAAAACAUUAAAGGCUUCAAAAAGGGAAGAGCUGCGUGCACGUCGCACAAAUUCUGCCGUUUCCCGUCUUUCGACAAUUAGCCCCAUUCACCAGAGGCCAAGUUAGCGCUUUUGUUGAGCUCUUAUAAGAAGGAGGACAGUGGUCAGUACAUCUCUGAGCUGCUGCUUUUACAUAUUGCAUGGACAGGUUUCUUGUUUUUUGUGAAGGAAACUAAUGUUAAUGACAAAUAAACACAUUUGUACUAAUAUAAUCCUAAAAUUAAAAUUCAAGAUUGAAGAACAUUAAUCCCAGGGUACAGAGCUACAGCUGUGAUCUUCUUCAGUGUUUACUUCAGUCCAUUUAUUCCUACUGUAAGUCGACUUUUAAUAAGUCUGAUCACUUUAGCUUCUCUUUUGUUUAACUUUGUAAACACUUUAAAACUAAAUCCACAUGUGGUUUUCUAUUUUUAUGCAAAUCUCAAUGGGGAAGAAAUUAAAACGUAAUUGGUUUCGUAAAAUAAAUAAAAAAAUCUCAA